rnacentral:rRNA from 1 species
UCCGCAGGCGGUCCGGUGUGUCAGAUGUGAAAGCCCACAGCUUAACUGUGGAAUUGCAUUUGAAACUGCCGGACUAGAGUACUGGAGGGGAGAAGGGAACACUUGGUGUAGCGGUGAAAUGCGUAGAUAUCAAGUGGAACACCGGUGGCGAAGGCGCUUCUCUGGACAGAUACUGACGCUCAUGGACGAAAGUUAGGGUAGCGAAAG